GCGGUUGUGGCUCAGAGGUAGAGUGCUCGCCUAGCACGGGCGGACCUGGGUUCGAUCCUCAGCACCACA
rnacentral:tRNA from 1 species